GAUGAACGCUGGCGGCGUGCCUAAUACAUGCAAGUCGAGCGAACGGACGAGAAGCUUGCUUUUCUGAUGUUAGCGGCGGACGGGUGAGUAACACGUGGAUAACCUACCUAUAAGACUGGGAUAACUUCGGGAAACCGGAGCUAAUACCGGAUAAUAUUUUGAACCGCAUGGUUCAAAAGUGAAAGACGGUCUUGCUGUCACUUAUCGAUGGAUCCGCGCUGCAUUAGCUAGUUGGUAAGGUAACGGCUUACCAAGGCAACGAUGCAUAGCCGACCUGAGAGGGUGAUCGGCCACACUGGAACUGAGACACGGUCCAGACUCCUACGGGAGGCAGCAGUAGGGAAUCUUCCGCAAUGGGCGAAAGCCUGACGGAGCAACGCCGCGUGAGUGAUGAAGGUCUUCGGAUCGUAAAACUCUGUUAUUAGGGAAGAACAUAUGUGUAAGUAACUGUGCACAUCUUGACGGUACCUAAUCAGAAAGCCACGGCUAACUACGUG
rnacentral:rRNA from 1 species